AGCCGUGUGGUGAGUGCAUAGCGAACUCUUCUUUCGCCUUUUACUAAAGAACACCGUGCGCUCGCCGCCUAAAGCGGCAUACGCCUAUUUUUGUAGGGCCUUUCUUUUGAAAACGGU